GUGAACGCUGGCGGUAGGCCUAAAACAUGCAAGUCGAACGGAAGCACAGUAAGAGCUUGCUCUUACGGGUGGCGAGUGGCGGACGGGUGAGGAAUACAUCGGAAUCUACUUUUUCGUGGGGGAUAACGUAGGGAAACUUACGCUAAUACCGCAUACGACCUACGGGGGAAAGCAGGGGAUCUUCGGACCUUGCGCGAUUGAAUGAGCCGAUGUCGGAUUAGCUAGUUGGCGGGGUAAAGGCCCACCAAGGCGACGAUCCGUAGCUGGUCUGAGAGGAUGAUCAGCCACACUGGAACUGAGACACGGUCCAGACUCCUACGGGAGGCAGCAGUGGGGAAUAUUGGACAAUGGGCGCAAGCCUGAUCCAGCCAUACCGCGUGGGUGAAGAAGGCCUUCGGGUUGUAAAGCCCUUUUGUUGGGAAAGAAAAGCAGCAGGUUAAUACCCCGCUGUUCUGACGGUACCCAAAGAAUAAGCACCGGCUAACUUCGUG
rnacentral:rRNA from 1 species